GAAGUACAAGUCGUAACAAGGUUUCCGUAGGUGAACCUGCGGAAGGAUCAUUACUAAAUCCACGAUGAUACGCGCUCUGUUGAACCGUUGUGCGCAGGUGCCGCGGAGGGAAUCGCGAGAUUCUCCGACGCGUCCCGAUGCCACACACACGCUGAUGUACGAAUGGACAGUGAUUUAUAUUAUUAUUAUCAUAAAAAAGCACAACUUUUAACAAUGGAUCUCUUGGCUCUU
rnacentral:misc_RNA from 1 species